GGGGAUGAUCGGCUUCGACAGUCGCCAGUCUUCGUUCGUGCGGCCCAAGCUCCAUCGACUUGUAAAUCCGAUGGAAAUCACAAAUGCUAACAUCAAGUCACCGUAUUUUACGGCAAAAGAUUUCGCAUUCGCACUGGCUUAACUAGUGCGCGUCCUCCUACGGGGAUCCAUACCGUACCCGAGGCGUAAUAACCCGGAUGUAGGGAAGAGGGCUUCUCACCCGCUCCUCCGAAACCUCGAGAUCGCUCGCUGAUGUUUUGUUUGAUUUUCUAUUCAGUGCGCUAAACUCCAAAUCAUUCUACUGCCGUAGAAGCGUUCGCAAGACUCCGAUUGCAUCUGGGUUCAAUUCCCAGCAUCUCCACCA
rnacentral:tmRNA from 1 species